GUCUACGGCCAUACCACGUUGAAAGCACCAGUUCUCGUCCGAUCACUGAAGUUAAGCAACGUCGGGCUCGGUUAGUACUUGGAUGGGUGACCGCCUGGGAACACCGAGUGCUGUAGNNN
rnacentral:rRNA from 1 species